rnacentral:rRNA from 1 species
CUACGGGUGGCAGCAGGCGCGGAACCUUUACAAUGCACGCAAGUGUGAUAAGGGAACCCUCAGUGCUCAUGUAUUACAUGGGCUUUUGCCAAGCGUAAAUAGCUUGGCGAAUAAGUGGUGGGUAAGACUGGUGCCAGCCGCCGCGGUAACACCAGCGCCACGAGUGGCAACCACGUUUAUUGGGCCUAAAGCGUCCGUAGCCGGUUUGGUAAAUCUCUUGUGAAAUCGUCAGGCUUAACUUGACGGCGCGCUCGAGACACUGCCUUACUUGAGACCGGGAGGAGUCAGAGGUAUUCCUGAGGGAGCGGUAAAAUGUGAUAAUCUCAGGAGGAUCACCUAUGGCGAAGGCAUCUGACCAGAACGGAUCUGACGGUGAGGGACGAAGGCUAGGGGAGCGAUCCGGAUUAGAUACCCCAGUAGUC